rnacentral:rRNA from 1 species
GACGAACGCUGGCGGCGUGCUUAACACAUGCAAGUCGAAUGGUGAAGCUCCAGCUUGCUGGAGUGGAUCAGUGGCGAACGGGUGAGUAACACGUGAGCAACCUGCCCCUGACUCUGGAAUAAGCGCUGGAAACGGCGUCUAAUACUGGAUACGAGAAGGGUCCGCAUGGGCACUUUCUGGAAAGUUUUUCGGUUGGGGAUGGGCUCGCGGCCUAUCAGCUUGUUGGUGAGGUAAUGGCUCACCAAGGCGACGACGGGUAGCCGGCCUGAGAGGGCGACCGGCCACACUGGGACUGAGACACGGCCCAGACUCCUACGGGAGGCAGCAGUGGGGAAUAUUGCACAAUGGGCGAAAGCCUGAUGCAGCGACGCCGCGUGAGGGAUGACGGCCUUCGGGUUGUAAACCUCUUUCAGCAGGGAAGAAGCGAAAGUGACGGUACCUGCAGAAGAAGCACCGGCUAACUACGUG